UUUGGAGGGCAAGUCUGGUGCCAGCAGCCGCGGUAAUUCCAGCUCCAAUAGCGUAUAUUAAAGUUGUUGCAGUUAAAAAGCUCGUAGUUGAAUUUCGGGAUCAAUAUUUCGGUCAUGCCGUUGGUAUGCACUGUUAUCAUUGAUUUCUCACCUUCUAAAGAACCGUAAUGCCCAUUAAUUUGGUGUUAACGGGAAUUAGGACUGUUACCUUGAAAAAAUUAGAGUGUUUAAAGCAGGCAA
rnacentral:rRNA from 1 species